AUUCCCCUAGUAACUGCGAGUGAAGCGGGAAAAGCUCAAAUUUAAAAUCUGGUGGCCUUUGUCCAUCCGAGUUGUAAUUUAGAGAAGCGUCUUCCGCGCUGGACCGUGCACAAGUCUCCUGGAACGGAGCGUCAUAGAGGGUGAGAAUCCCGUCUUUGGCACGGACACACCAGGGCUUUUGUGAUGCGCUCUCAAAGAGUCGAGUUGUUUGGGAAUGCAGCUCAAAAUGGGUGGUGAACUCCAUCUAAAGCUAAAUAUUGGCGAGAGACCGAUAGCGAACAAGUACCGUGAGGGAAAGAUGAAAAGCACUUUGGAAAGAGAGUGAAACAGUACGUGAAAUUGUUGAAAGGGAAACGCUUGAAGUCAGUCGCGUCGCCCGAGACUCAGCCUUGCCUCGGCUUGGUGUACUUCUCGGCUGACGGGUCAGCAUCAAUUUUGCCCCUUGGAUAAUGGCGAGGGAAAUGUGACACCUUUACGGGUGUGUUAUAGUCUCUCGUCGCAUGCAAGGGUCGGGAUUGAGGAACUCAGCACGCGCCCUCGGGCGUCGGGGCAUCUGCCCACGAUACGUGCUUAGGAUGUUGGCGUAAUGGCUUUAAACGACCCGUCUUGAAACACGGACCAAGGAGUCUAACAUGCCCGCGAGUGUUCGGGUGGAAAACCCGUGCGCGCAAUGAAAGUGAAAGUUGGGACCUCUGUCGUGGAGGGCACCGACGCCCGGACCAGACCUUCUGUGACGGAUCUGCGGUAGAGCGUGUAUGUUAGGACCCGAAAGAUGGUGAACUAUGCCUGAAUAGGGUGAAGCCAGAGGAAACUCUGGUGGAGGCUCGUAGCGAUUCUGACGUGCAAAUCGAUCGUCAAAUUUGGGUAUAGGGGCGAAAGAC
rnacentral:rRNA from 1 species